GGGCUGGGGCUCAGCGGUAGAGUGCUUGCCUAGCAUGUGCAGGUCCCUGAGUUCAAUCCUCAGCACCACA
rnacentral:tRNA from 1 species